rnacentral:rRNA from 1 species
CAAUAGCGUAUAUUUAAGUUGCUGCAGUUAAAAAGCUCGUAGUUGGAUUUCGGGUGGGAAUGGCCGGUCCGCCGUUUCGGUGUGCACUUGCUACGCCCACCUUGCUGCCGGGGACGUGCUCUUGAGUUCACGCUCGGGACACGGAGUCGGCGAGGUUACUUUGAGUAAAUUAGAGUGUUCAAAGCAGGCCUACGCUCUGAAUACAUUAGCAUGGAAUAACACGAUAGGACUCUGGCCUAUCUUGUUGGUCUGUAGGACCGGAGUAAUGAUUAAGAGGGACAGUCGGGGGCAUUCGUAUUUCAUUGUCAGAGGUGAAAUUCUUGGAUUUAUGAAAGACGAACUACUGCGAAAGCAUUUGCCAAGGAUGUUUUUGUUGA